AGAGUUUGAUCCUGGCUCAGGAUGAACGCUAGCGGCAGGCUUAACACAUGCAAGUCGAGGGGUAUAAGUCUUCGGAUUUAGAGACCGGCGCACGGGUGCGUAACGCGUAUGCAAUCUACCUUUUACAGAGGGAUAGCCCAGAGAAAUUUGGAUUAAUACCUCAUAGUAUAUAGAGUUGGCAUCAACACUAUAUUAAAGUCACAACGGUAAAAGAUGAGCAUGCGUCCCAUUAGCUUGUUGGUAAGGUAACGGCUUACCAAGGCUACGAUGGGUAGGGGUCCUGAGAGGGAGAUCCCCCACACUGGUACUGAGACACGGACCAGACUCCUACGGGAGGCAGCAGUGAGGAAUAUUGGUCAAUGGACGCAAGUCUGAACCAGCCAUGCCGCGUGCAGGAUGACGGUCCUAUGGAUUGUAAACUGCUUUUGCACAGGAAGAAACAACUCUACGUGUAGAGUCUUGACGGUACUGUGAGAAUAAGGAUCGGCUAACUCCGUGCCAGCAGCCGCGGUAAUACGGAGGAUCCAAGCGUUAUCCGGAAUCAUUGGGUUUAAAGGGUCCGUAGGCGGUUUAGUAAGUCAGUGGUGGAAGCCCAUCGCUCAACGGUGGAACGGCCAUUGAUACUGCUAAACUUGAAUUAUUAGGAAGUAACUAGAAUAUGUAGUGUAGCGGUGAAAUGCUUAGAGAUUACAUGGAAUACCAAUUGCGAAGGCAGGUUACUACUAAUGGAUUGACGCUGAUGGACGAAAGCGUGGGUAGCGAACAGGAUUAGAUACCCUGGUAGUCCACGCCGUAAACGAUGGAUACUAGCUGUUGGAAGCAAUUUCAGUGGCUAAGCGAAAGUGAUAAGUAUCCCACCUGGGGAGUACGUUCGCAAGAAUGAAACUCAAAGGAAUUGACGGGGGCCCGCACAAGCGGUGGAGCAUGUGGUUUAAUUCGAUGAUACGCGAGGAACCUUACCAAGGCUUAAAUGUAGAUUGACCGGUUUGGAAACAGACUUUUCGCAAGACAAUUUACAAGGUGCUGCAUGGUUGUCGUCAGCUCGUGCCGUGAGGUGUCAGGUUAAGUCCUAUAACGAGCGCAACCCCUGUUGUUAGUUGCCAGCGAGUCAUGUCGGGAACUCUAACAAGACUGCCAGUGUAAACUGUGAGGAAGGUGGGGAUGACGUCAAAUCAUCACGGCCCUUACGCCUUGGGCUACACACGUGCUACAAUGGCCGGUACAGAGAGCAGCCACUGGGCGACCAGGAGCGAAUCUACAAAACCGGUCACAGUUCGGAUCGGAGUCUGCAACUCGACUCCGUGAAGCUGGAAUCGCUAGUAAUCGGAUAUCAGCCAUGAUCCGGUGAAUACGUUCCCGGGCCUUGUACACACCGCCCGUCAAGCCAUGGAAGCUGGGGGUGCCUGAAGUCGGUGACCGCAAGGAGCUGCCUAGGGUAAAACUGGUAACUAGGGCUAAGUCGUAACAAGGUA
rnacentral:rRNA from 1 species